AUUUGAUGCAUUGAUUAUCCGUGCUCUCUCUAUAAGUCCGUAACACAUUCUGGUGAUUUCUCUAGUUUAGAUAGGUCAACCUAUGUUAAUUAUCAUCUAUACUGUUAUCAACGCCGUACUAAAUAUAAGCGACAUGGAGAAGCAUCUCGUGUAUCUUGUUAUCAUACAUUUUAUUCAAAUUCAAUGUCAACGUAUUUAUGAAAGUCAAAAUGAAGCAAACUUCAACAAAAAUAUCGCAGAAAUAAGACGCGAUCGCCGUGCAAGUGAUGAUUACGAAGAUGAAGGUGGCUUCAUACGCGCUCCAAAUACUGAAACGGACCACAGUUUUAUUUGGAAUGUAAUUAGCUGUCCUGAGAAAGAAGUAAGAGCCCUGUGGACCCCCAUGCAUUACUUGUGAAGAGUACAUGGAGAAAUUGAAAAAAGCCGGCCCUGGAUGUACAUAAAAUGAAAACUUAGCUUUAAUUAAUCUUAAGAAAAUUAUAAUUAAUGGCACUAUUAUUAGUCACUGGUCUAAUUAAUUAAAUUAAAAUCGGUUUUAAUUGAA